UGAGUAACACGUGGGAACAUACCUUGAAGUGGGGGACAACAGUUGGAAACGACUGCUAAUACCGCAUAAUCCCUGAGGGGGAAAGAUUUAUCGCUUUAAGAUUGGCCCGCGGAAGAUUAGGUAGUUGGUGGGGUAAAGGCCUACCAAGCCGACGAUCUAUAGCUGGUCUGAGAGGACGAACAGCCACAUUGGAACUGAGACACGGUCCAGACUCCUACGGGAGGCAGCAGUGAGGAAUAUUGGGCAAUGGAGGAAACUCUGACCCAGCCAUGCCGCGUGAGUGAAGAAGGUUUUCGAAUUGUAAAGCUCUUUCGGAUGGGACGAUGAUGACGGUACCAUCUAAAGAAGCCCCGGCAAACUUCGUGCCAGCAGCCGCGGUAAUACGAAGGGGGCAAGCGUUGUUCGGAAUUACUGGGCGUAAAGGGUGUGUAGGCGGAUUUGUAAGAUAGUGGUGAAAUACCUGAGCUCAACUUAGGAAUUGCCAUUAUAACUAUAGAUCUGGAGUGACGGAGAGGAUAUUGGAAUACCCAGUGUAGAGGUGAAAUUCGUAGAUAUUGGGUAGAACACCAGUGGCGAAGGCGAGUAUCUGGACUGUAACUGACGCUGAGGCACGAAAGCAUGGGGAGCAAACAGGAUUAGAUACCCUGGUAGUCCAUGCUGUAAACGAUGAAUGCUAGUUGUCGGCAAAAGCCGGUGACGCAGUUAACGCGAUAAGCAUUCCGCCUGGGGAGUACGGUCGCAAGAUUAAAACUCAAAGGAAUUGACGGGGACCCGCACAAGCGGUGGAGCAUGUGGUUUAAUUCGAUGCAACGCGAAGAACCUUACCAACUCUUGACAUCCUCAUCGGGGCUUUCAGAGAUGAGAGCUUUCAGUUAGGCUGGAUGAGUGACAGAUGCUGCAUGGCUGUCGUCAGCUCGUGUCGUGAGAUGUUGGGUUAA
rnacentral:rRNA from 1 species